UAACAGCUCAAAUUUGAAAUCUGGCUCCCUGCGGAGUCCGAGUUGUAAUUUGUAGAAGAUGCUUUGGGUGCUUGGCCCGGCCUAAGUUCCUUGGAACAGGACGUCGUAGAGGGUGAGAAUCCCGUAUGCGGCCAGUGUCGGCGCCCGUGUAAAGCUCUUUCGACGAGUCGAGUUGUUUGGGAAUGCAGCUCAAAAUGGGUGGUAAAUUUCAUCUAAAGCUAAAUAUGGGCCAGAGACCGAUAGCGCACAAGUAGAGUGAUCGAAAGAUGAAAAGCACUUUGGAAAGAGAGUUAAACAGUACGUGAAAUUGUUGAAAGGGAAGCGCUUGCAACCAGACUUGGGCGUCGCUGAUCAUCCAAAGACACUCUUUGGUGCACUCGACGACGCACAGGCCAGCAUCGGUUGGAGUGGUGGGAGAAAGGUUGCCGGAACGUGGCUCUUUUCGGAGAGUGUUAUAGCCGGCGACGCAAUACCGCCUACCCCGACCGAGGACCGCGCUUCGGCUAGGAUGCUGGCGUAAUGGUUGUAAACGACCCG
rnacentral:rRNA from 1 species